rnacentral:rRNA from 1 species
UAUGUGAUCGUCUCUCGCAUAUCAAUAAGCGGAGGAAAAGAAACUAACAAGGAUUCCCCUAGUAACGGCGAGUGAAGCGGGAAGAGCUCAAAUUUGAAUCUUAAAGGGUUUCCCUUUACGAAUUGUAGUUUAAAGAAGUGUUUUCUGUUGAGGUUUUGGUAAAAGUUCUUUGGAAUAGGACAUCAUAGAGGGUGAGAAUCCCGUACUUUGACCUUUACUUUCAACUUUGUGAUACACUUUCAAAGAGUCGGAUUGUUUGGGAAUGCAGUCCAAAAUGGGUGGUAAAUUUCAUCUAAAGCUAAAUAUUGGCGAGAGACCGAUAGCGAACAAGUACCGUGAGGGAAGGAUGAAAAGAACUUUGAAAAGAGAGUUAAACAGUACGUGAAAUUGUCAAAAGGGAAGCGUUUGACACCAGUGUUGUUUUUCUGAAAAUCAAUUAAAGAACUGUUUAUGCUAAGUUGUUUAGACUUUAUCAGCUAACUGUUUAGUUUUGAGCUUUUCUUUAAUGCACUUUUCAGUUAACAAGUCAACAUCAAUUUCUUUUGCUGUAAAAAAGCUUGAGGAAGGUGGCUUGAGAUUCGUCUUAAGUGUUUAUAGCCUCUUGCCUAUGCAGUCGGAGAGAUUGAGGUCUGCAGCGUAGAUCCUUCGGGGCUAAAUGCAUUUGUGCUAAGUUAUAGCAUUUUAUAGACAACUUGUUGACUAUGAUUUGUCUUGUAGCUUACUCGCUUACGUUAUUUUACCUACGCUUAGGAUGUUGAAGAUAUGCGCGACACG